rnacentral:rRNA from 1 species
GAUGAACGCUGGCGGCGUGCCUAAUACAUGCAAGUCGAGCGAACAAACGAGGAGCUUGCUCCUCUGACGUUAGCGGCGGACGGGUGAGUAACACGUAGAUAACCUACCUAUAAGACUGGGAUAACUUCGGGAAACCGGAGCUAAUACCGGAUAAUAUAUUGAACCGCAUGGUUCAAUAGUGAAAGACGGUUUUGCUGUCACUUAUAGAUGGAACCGCGUCGCAUUAGCUAGUUGGUAAGGUAACGGCCUACCAAGGCAACGAUGCGUAGCCGACCUGAGAGGGUGAUCAGCCACACUGGAACUGAGACACGGUCCAGACUCCUACGGGAGGCAGCAGUAGGGAAUCUUCCGCAAUGGGCGAAAGCCUGACGGAGCAACGCCGCGUGAGUGAUGAAGGUCUUCGGAUCGUAAAACUCUGUUAUUAGGGAAGAACAAAUGUGUAAGUAACUAUGCACGUCUUGACGGUACCUAAACAGAAAGCCACGGCUAACUACGUG